rnacentral:rRNA from 1 species
AUAAGCGCCGGUAAGGUGAUAUGAACCGUUAUAACCGGCGAUACCCGAAUGGGGAAACCCAGUGUGAUUCGUCACACUAUCAUUAACUGAAUCCAUAGGUUAAUGAGGCGAACCGGGGGAACUGAAACAUCUAAGUACCCCGAGGAAAAGAAAUCAACCGAGAUUCCCCCAGUAGCGGCGAGCGAACGGGGAGGAGCCCAGAGCCUGAAUCAGCAUGUGUGUUAGUGGAAGCGUCUGGAAAGGCGCGCGAUACAGGGUGACAGCCCCGUACACAAAAGCGCAUGUGCUGUGAGCUCGAUGAGUAGGGCGGGACACGUGGUAUCCUGUCUGAAUAUGGGGGGACCAUCCUCCAAGGCUAAAUACUCCUGACUGACCGAUAGUGAACCAGUACCGUGAGGGAAAGGCGAAAAGAACCCCGGCGAGGGGAGUGAAAAAGAACCUGAAACCGUGUACGUACAAGCAGUGGGAGCACCCUUUGGGUGUGACUGCGUACCUUUUGUAUAAUGGGUCAGCGACUUAUAUUCUGUAGCAAGGUUAACCGAAUAGGGGAGCCGGAGGGAAACCGAGUCUUAAC